GCCAUGUUCGUAUGCAGGGCGUCCGUUAGGCACGACUCACGCGUCGCUCCUGAUCCGUGGACCAGCACGUUUCGUAUGGGCUGAGCCAUGGUCCAGAAUUGUUAGUCCAGUACGGAAGGCUUGCGGCCCAGAGGAGGUUGGCGAAACCUCGGUCCCCUGCUCUCUGCGGCGGCGGGUGUUACUUCCGGCGGCGCGGCGAUGGACGAUGCGGGGCUGGAGUUCCUUAUGGAUCCCAUCGACCGGUUUCCAUUUAGGGAGGAAUUUGCGGCAGCCUUUAGCAUCCGGAUCCGGUUCCCCUAGUGCUGUUGCCGCACUGUGAUGCCCAUCCUGCCAAGCCCGUGGAUUCUAUGGCGGGUCUGGUUGCGUGCAAGAUGAGGGUGUCCGCAUCCCCGUCAGGCUGGCAGGCGAACUACAACGAGGAAUAAAUGCUUCUCCGACUAGGUCCGUGCAAUCCACUAAUCCUGACAGCACCAGGCUGGAUUGAAAGGUUAGGGCUGGGGAGUGCUCCAUCGGACAGAACUCCUUGCACAUUAAAGAUGCAUUUGUUGGAGCAAUCUAUUUGCAAAUAUGCAGAGGAGCCUGGAAAGAGUGUAAGCAAACCGAAGCUACGAUUGACUUUCAACUCAUUCGAGGAGGCCUACGACUUGUACAGCUUGACGCAAACAGUGCCGUAGGGCGAAACGACUAUAAUGGUUUGUGGAUUGCAGGGGAAGCUAGAGGCGGAGAACAAACGGUCUUGUAGGUGCGAUUGCCCCGCAUUGAUAAGGCUGUUGCCGGCGUCCGGCAAUAGCUGGUAUAUAAUUGAGCUCGUGAGAACACCAAUCAUUCUAUGUCGCUGACAAUGGGGAGAAGGUCCGCUGACUGUCGCACAAAUCACAUUGAUGUUUACACCAAGGAUCUAAUAAGGCAGUUAUGGGAAUGUAAUGUGAACCUUGGGUAAGUGUACAACAUCAUCGCAGUUUUUCGGAUCUGUUGAGAAGGUACUGUUUACAAAGAGGACUUUGAGGAACAUAUGUGGCCAGAUAAGCCAUGAGCAGACGGAUUAUGAUAUGAGGAAAACUUUGGAGGUUUUUGCUGACAUUGUUGGGAGUGACCCGGACUUCUUAUCGAUAGCGAGAGCAGGGUAAAGAAGUUGAGAGGUCGACAACCCCGAAAACUAACCUCGGAGGUUUGGCCACUAUCCUCAGAGGUUUGGCCUGUGUAUUUAAUUUGUACUACUCUGUCCCAUAAUGUAAGACGUUUUUGCAGUUCAAUUUAAACUGCAAAAACGUCCUAUAUUAUGGGACGGAGGGAGUAGUUCACAAUCAGAAUAUUUGCACUGCUUACAACAUGCUCACUCGUGUUAUCUCACUGUGUGCAGACCAGAACAAAAUGUUGCUGUCUUUUUAAUUCUCAUUAAAAGAAGCUGAUUCAUGCUGGUAUUGACAGGGUCGUGUUGUUAGGAGAACCAAUCUGGCAAUAGUGUCACGCAAGCAAAGUGUAUCCUAGAGCUAUGUUCGGGCAGUUCGGGCGAAUCCUCAUCGAAGGUAUACUACGGAGGUUGAGAAGAUGAACAAGUAUGUGACAAUGCACAACAAUGCGGCAGAACGUGAGAAGUGUAGUAGAGUUGUUAUGAGGUAACAAUCAAGGAUGACGGUUCUGAAUUUGUGUGCGAGUGCGGACAGUUCGAGCAUACAGGGAUGCUUUGCUGCCAUGUCCUAAGGGUAAUAUCUGCGGUUUGCAUACAGCGCGAGUAUGUUUCGAUUAUAGUUUGAUAUAUGUUCUGAUAGUUGGUGUACCAUCUUUGACGCAUGCAUAAGUCUUUCACAUGCAGGCAUUCGACUCUAUACAUGCAGGCUCUGGAUGUUGUUAGGAUGGGGGACGCUAGCGCUGAAAUGUUCGAGCACAUGUCGGCUGGCCUGAAAGCUCUAAUGGCGAACGCUAGCACUGAAGCGUUCGAGCACAUGUUGACUGGCCUUUAAGCUCUAAUGGUGAGUUGUGCACCACUGACAGAGAAGAGGGAUGGUCUGGGAUUUGAAGACUGUCGGGUUGCGAUCACUGCAGGCAGGGUAACUGGGAUGAUGACCUUACAGUCUUAUCAAAUGGUGGUGCAACCCAGGAAUAUAAUUUGGGCGGUCCCGUGAGUGUGAACGCACUUCGGGGUGUCGGCAGGGGCGACAAAUAGCCGUGAGAAAGGACCAUAUCACGGUCUGAGCAAGCGGACUAGGUUUUGGAGCCCGACAAAUGCAAGAACUGCGGGAUGGAGGGGCACUGCGAAACACGUUCACAUGACCACUUGGUGGUGGGCAGACUUAGAAGUGAGGAUUUAUUUGCAUGUGUAAUUUGUGAUUUGAGGAUUUUCUGGUGUGUACUGUGAGCCAUGCUGAACGCUUGUUCCCCCGGUGCUUAAAGUGUGUACCAUUGCAAGUUUGUAACAUUGAGUGAUAGCGGUCGAAGUGUUCUGUAGUACUUUA